AUCCUGGCUUAGGACGAACGCUGGCGGCGUGCCUAAUACAUGCAAGUCGAACGGCUUUUCUAUGGAAGCUUGCUUCCACUGAGAAGAUAGUGGCGAACGGGUGAGUAACACGUGGGUAACCUGCCCAUAAGAGGGGGAUAACAUCCGGAAACGGGUGCUAAUACCGCAUAGUUUUCUUGAUCGCAUGAUUGAGAAAGGAAAGACGGCCUUUGUGCUGUCGCUUAUGGAUGGACCCGCGGCGUAUUAGUUAGUUGGUGAGGUAACGGCUCACCAAGACGAUGAUACGUAGCCGACCUGAGAGGGUGAUCGGCCACAUUGGGACUGAGACACGGCCCAAACUCCUACGGGAGGCAGCAGUAGGGAAUCUUCCGCAAUGGACGAAAGUCUGACGGAGCAACGCCGCGUGAGUGAAAGAAGGUUUUCGGAUCGUAAAACUCUGUUGUCAGAGAAGAACAAGUUGGAGAGUAACUGCUCCAGCCUUGACGGUAUCUGACCAGAAAGCCACGGCUAACUACGUGCCAGCCGCCGC
rnacentral:rRNA from 1 species